rnacentral:lncRNA from 1 species
GGCGUCCUGCCAGCGGGGCGCCCCCGGCCUGAGACUCCCUGGAAGCCUCGUCCGCGAGUCGCGGACUCGGGGCCCGGAGGGCGGCGGGAGGUCCUGCGCUGCGGUGCGGCUAUAGCGCCCGCGCUCCCCGCGGAAGAACCGCCGAGUCGAGCGCUGAAGGUGUGGCCCACCAGCAGGAGUGUCAGAACGUGCCGAGCCGCUCGAGUCGGAGUCGCCAGAACCCCCGGAAGACGAGCCGUUCACCGGCAGGCCAACUGGGGCUUCUUCGUGUAGUGGACUGACAGCCAAGCGUCGGGAACGCAGUGUCGUGGGUGUGCGGCUGACCGGGUGAGGAGGAUCUUUCACAGAGACCGUGCCCCUCCGUGGAGUCCAGGAACAGGGCCUCAAACCUGCGUCCUCAUGGAUACUAGUCAAAUUUGUUUCCCCUGAGCCAGGACAGGAACUCCCUUCAAGGAUAUUUGUUUGUUUGAUUCUUUCUGCUUUUUUGUUUUUUCUAGGGCCACACCCACAGCGUGUGGAGGUUCGCAAGCUAGGGGUCCAGUCGGAGCUGUCGCCGCCAGCCUAUACCACAGCCACAGCCACGCAGGAUCUGAGCUGCAUCUGCACCCUACACCACAGCUCGCAGCAACACUGGAUCCCCAACCCACUGAACCAGGCCAGGGAUCGAAUUGCAACCUCAUGGUUCCUAGUCAGGUUCAUUAACCACUGAGCCAUGACAGGAACUCUGCUUCAAGGAUAUUUGGAAGCAUCUAUAUUUAUGGCCCAUCUCAGAAUGCAAAAGGUUUUUAAAAAUGUAAACCUCUUUGCCUUUUGGAGUGUAAAUAUUUGGGGGCUUAAGAGUCUGAUGCAUCUGUGUGCGACAGAGCUGGUCUCAGCAGGCACCUCACUGGGCUCUCAUGAGGGGAUUUCUUUCACGGAACCGUCUUUGGUAUGUAGCAGGUGUUCGUAGGUGUUAGUCAUUGCCGUUACUGUCUGUAUCACUGCCAUCAUCAAAGCCUGACAAGGCAAGGCUUCCAGGCCUCGCACUGCCAUGAAAGAGUUGGGCGGAGCAAGGCCUGUGCGUUGGGUCUCUGAGCCUCACUUCCUGAGUGGGCAACAUGAAAAUUGAUGCCCGCUUCAAGGGUUGCUGUGACCGUUACACCAGUGUGGAUGGGAAAGCAGUUGUUUCAAGAAGCAUCAAAGGUUAAUAACACCUGGAACGUUUUCCAGAAGAAAGUUAAAUACAGGAUGGCCUGAUGCGUUCCCCACAGGGUGUACUCUUUGCUUCCGUUUCAUUCGUGUUCAACAAGAUGCGCGUUCAGGCCAUGCUCCAUUUCUGCAGCAAAAAAGGCACUUUGCAGCUAUAUUCUUUGCACGUGAUGCUGAGUAGUAUUUCAGAGCCAGGCCUUAGAAACUUCAAGGCCUGGGAGUUCCUUCGUGGCUCUGGUUAACGAACCCGACUAGGAUCCGUGAGGACUCAGGUUUGAUCCCUGGCCUUGCUCAGUGGGUUAAGGAUCUGGCAUUGCUAUGAGCUGUGGUGUAGGUCACAGACAUGGCUUGGAUCCCAUCAUUUUGCUGUGGCUGUGGCAUAGGGUGGCAGCUGCAGCUCCAAUUUGACCCCUAUCUUGGGAACUUCCAUAUGCCUCUGGUAUGGCCCUAAAAAGACCAAAAAAAAAUUAGCAAAGGAGUUCCUGCUGCAGUGCAAUGAGAUUUAAGUGUCUGUAGCACCAGGACACAGGUUCAACUCCCUGCCCCUCAGAGAGGGCUAAAGGAUCCAGCAUUACCGAAGCUUCAGCGUAGGUCAGCUUCAGCUGUGUCUCAGAUCUGAUCCAUGGCCCGGGAGCUUCAUGCGCUGCAAAGUGGCCAAAAAAUUUAAAAAGGAAAAAGUUCUUGUCGUGUCUCAGCAGUAACAAACCUGAUUAGUCAUGAGGAUGUGGGUUCAAUCCCUGGCCCGGCUCAGUGGGUUAACAUUCUGCUGUUGCCAUGGGCUGUGGUGUAGGUUGCAUAUGUGGUUUGGAUUUGAUCUCUAGUCUGGGAACUUCCAUAGCCCUCCAAAAAAAAAAAAAAAAAACCAAAAAAAAAA